GACGAACGCUGGCGGCGCGCCUAACACAUGCAAGUCGAACGAGCGAGAGGGAGCUUGCUUUCUCGAGCGAGUGGCGAACGGGUGAGUAACGCGUGAGGAACCUGCCUCAAAGAGGGGGACAACAGUUGGAAACGACUGCUAAUACCGCAUAAGCCCACGUUGCCGCAUGGCACAGAGGGAAAAGGAGCAAUCCGCUUUGAGAUGGCCUCGCGUCCGAUUAGCUAGUUGGUGAGGUAAUGGCCCACCAAGGCGACGAUCGGUAGCCGGACUGAGAGGUUGCACGGCCACAAUGGGACUGAGACACGGCCCAGACUCCUACGGGAGGCAGCAGUGGGGAAUAUUGCACAAGGGGGGAAACCCUGAUGAAGCGACGCCGGGUGGAGGAAGAAGGUCUUCGGAUUGUAAACUCCUGUUGUUGGGGAAGAUAAUGACGGUACCCAAUAAGGAAGUGACGGCUAACUACGUG
rnacentral:rRNA from 1 species